AAUAAACUAAUGAAUUGUAUAAAGGUUUGAGAACAACUGGAUUUGAAAAGUUUUUACAGUUUCUGGUUAUAAAACUUAAGAUAAAGAUUUGGAAAUAGUAUGAACAAUGUGCUUAUUAAUACACAUGUAAUUACUUAACCAUAAUAUGGCAUAUAUACUGUUGACAAAGCAACAUUAUUAACCGAACUCCAUUCGAAUCCUUCCA